rnacentral:sRNA from 24 species
ACUAUGGAGUGUUAUAUAAAGCUGUAGUAGCUAUAGGCAAGACAGAACACGUUGAAAUAGUAA